rnacentral:rRNA from 1 species
CCUACGGGAGGCAGCAGUGAGGAAUAUUGGUCAAUGGGCGGGAGCCUGAACCAGCCAAGUCGCGUGAGGGAAGACGGUCCUACGGAUUGUAAACCUCUUUUGCCGGGGAGCAACGGGGUCCGGGCGAGGGCCCGAUGAGAGGACCCGGAGAAAAAGCAGCGGCGAACUCCGUGCCAGCAGCCGCGGUAAUACGGAGGAUCCGAGCGUUAUCCGGAUUUAUGGGGUUUACAGGGAGCGUAGAGGGGUUGUUAAGUCAGUUGUGAAAGUUUGCGGCUCAACCGUAAAAUUGCAAUUGAUACUGGCAGUCUUGAGUACCGUUGUGGUAGGCGGAAUUCGUGGUGUAGCGGUG